rfam:Schistosoma margrebowiei strain Zambia genome assembly, scaffold: SMRZ_contig0001924
GUACUACUGAGGAGUCCCAUACUAGGACGAAACGGCCGUCCAGUGC